rnacentral:rRNA from 1 species
GAUGAACGCUGGCGGCGUGCUUAACACAUGCAAGUCGAACGGAGAGCUAAUGAUUGAGGAUUCGUCCAAAUGAUUUAGUUUCUUAGUGGCGGACGGGUGAGUAACGCGUGAGGAACCUGCCUCGGAGUGGGGAAUAACACAGUGAAAUUGUGCUAAUACCGCAUAAUGCAAUUGAGUCGCAUGGCUCUGACUGCCAAAGAUUUAUCGCUCUGAGAUGGCCUCGCGUCUGAUUAGAUAGUUGGCGGGGUAACGGCCCACCAAGUCGACGAUCAGUAGCCGGACUGAGAGGUUGACCGGCCACAUUGGGACUGAGACACGGCCCAGACUCCUACGGGAGGCAGCAGUGGGAAAUAUUGGGCAAUGGCGCAAGCCUGACCCAGCAACGCCGCGUGAAGGAAGAAGGCUUUCGGUUGUAAACUUCUUUUGUCAGGACGAAUAAAUGACGGUACUUGACGAAAUAAAG